rnacentral:rRNA from 1 species
AGCUCCAAUAGCGUAUAUUAAAGUUGUUGCAGUUAAAAAGCUCGUAGUCGAAGCUCGGCCCUUGCGGGGCACGGUCAAUCAAUGAUUGUACUGUGUUCUGCAGGGCAAACUUUUCCGAUCUGCUUCUCAUGUCCUUCACCGGAUGUGUUUAGCGGGCGGGACUUUUACCUUGAAAAAAUUAGAGUGUUCAAAGCAGGCAUAUGGCUUGAAUACAUUAGCAUGGAAUAAUAGAAUAGGAUUUUGGUUCUAUUUUGUUGGUUUUAAGGACCAGAAUAAUGAUUAAUAGGGACAGUUGGGGGCAUUAGUAUUCAGUUGUCAGAGGUGAAAUUCUUGGAUUUACUGAAGACUAACAAAUGCGAAAGCAUCUGCCAAGGAUGUUCCCA